GAUCCUGCCUCAAAACAAAACAAAACAACAACAACAAAGUAAUCCUCCUGCCUCAGCCUCCCAAGUGGUGAUGAUGUCAUCUCAAGAUGGCAGGGGUGAACAGCAAACCUGACUUUUGCAUGGUCUCCUUCACUCCCUCUAUUCAUCCCCCUUUUCUCCCUCUCUUUCUUUUUUCCUUUCUUACACAGGGUCUCAUUACUUAACCCCGACUGGCUCAAAACUCACUUUGUAGCCUAGGUAUUUCUCAAACUCGCCAUCCUCCUGCCUCACACCACCAAGCCCUGAGACUGCAAGGACCAUGCCUCGCCAAUACUCAUUCCCCCCCCCCAUGUUUGUUAAAAGAGGUUAUUUUCAACCAGCUGGAAAAGCUCUUUGGGGUGCUGAAGAUGUCAAGUGUGCACCCCCUCAAUACACAACGUUAUGGGGUGGUGAGAUAGGCUAAAUUUUCCGCAAGGUCAACGUAGGGCAGACUUCGGACCCGUUUUUAAUGGCAAAGGAUAUCAAAAGACAAAAUGUAGAGGUUUAAGUUGUUAACCUAGAACUCUUUCAACUAAACUCAGGGUAGGAUGAGUUCGGUGCCCUCCCAAAGCCGGGAGCAGAUGGGGUGACUGCUGCUGCUCGCAUCUGAAGCUGGGGAGUUGGGGGAGCGGUUCUCGGGCCCAGGGGACUCCCCAUUUCCGGGAUCAGGAAUGAUUCUGAAUAUAUCCAGAUGUGCAGCCCCGCCCUAGAUGUGCUGACGCUGCGCGGGGCCACGUGGCGGGACACUGGCUCACUUGAGGGGAGCCCCGGAGUAUGGGGUUACUCAUCCCUGCCCGCCGCUCUCCAUACCCGGAGACGCCUCCUGGGAAGAGCGCUCUGGGGAGGCAGCAAGGCUGCGCCCAGCUCAGCGCGACGCUGGCGCCGAGAAAAACAAAACGGCUUCCAGCAAGUUCUCUCUCUGCCCUCGCUCCCUGAGCCCCUCCCUGCAGCAGGUGGGGGCGUUUUCCUGGCGCGACUCCUCUCUGCAGUGGGGUGUGCGCGCCAGCGAUCCCCGACGCCUGGCGGCCUGUGCUCGGGAGCCUGGGACGAGAGUGGAGAAAAGGAGUCCCCGGCAUCCCUCUGUCCAAGUAAUAAUCUCGCUCACGCCCUGGAUGAAAGAGGUUUGGACCUUUCUCUCUCAAACCCCCAGCUUCUGCAGAGAGUGUCCCAGAGGCCAGGAGGAUUGAAGAGCUGAGCUAUGACUCCCUGAGGAUGUACAAUCACCAUCGAGAGCGAUGUCGCAAUGAGAGUGCGGAGAUGCACUGGGUUUGAGGCUGCGCUGGACGCCCCAUGUCUGGGACGAGUCCCAAAAGUGAAGGAAGGGUAAGGGCUGGGCCUGGGGGGGGGGGGUCAGAGACACCACCCGCUACCCCACCCUCCAUGCCUGGGCGCAGUCCCCAGCCAGGAGGGUUACCUGAUAACCUUAUGGGUUGGUGUGUACCGGAGUCCCCACGCCCAUGUUCAUCUAGCUAUGGGGGAAGGGAAGGGUCUUUGUUCCCCCUCAGACCAUGACUACCAGACCCUGAGCACCCUCUGUGUCCCCAUUCCCAUGGUCCAUCCACUGGAGCCUCACAUAUGGCCACUGCGGGUUGGGAACCCCGUUACCCACUCAGCGCGGUCCACCAUUGCCCUGGGACUGUGGAACCCCCGUCGCCCUCCCGAGGAUCAGGUACGCACGGCGGGGAGUGGGAAUGGCCACCCCGGCUUACCUCUCGGCUCCUCGCUCCUGAGGCUGGAGUGCAAAGGGCUCUUUGUGCCCAGCUCUUAACAGAACUGGGGGAGUCCUGUAAGCGCCUCCCCUCGCAAACUCCUCCCCGCACUGGUCCGCAGCCUCCCUCCCUACGGCCCCCCAGCGCAACCCGCGUCGUCUUCGCCUCUACUGCAGCGCCCAUGAAAUUUUAAUGCAGGAGCGGCUGGCGGGCGGAGGUGCCGCACCCGGCCUCGGGCGUGGGGGUGGGGUGGGGCGCCUGGACAAGCACCCAUCUUGCGGUCCGGGACUCGAGCUGCGAGACGUGGGGUGCGUAUCUGCCCCGUGCCUCACAAAGGGGCUACUGCGAGCCUCAGCCUCAGCCUCAGCCUCAGCAUCCCCGCCUGUGGCGCUGCCAUAGCAACGCUGGCCAGUGGAGAGGCACGCAACGGUCUGAAGCACGACCAUGGACCUGGUGCUGAAGCAAGAAACACUGCCUAGAAUCCCAGAAGAGGAACUGAUAUCCGUGCUUGGCUCUGCAGGGCCAGGGCGUGGUUUCCGUGGAACUCUCUUAGGAAGACUCCUGGUCAGGGCGACGGCAAGAUUCGAACCCAAGACUACAGCGGAUGUCUCUAAUUUUGGCAUCUGCUCUGCCUGCACUCCUUGGCACCAUCAUGAGCUUUACAGAGGUGCUAAAGAGUCGCUAAAAGCUGUGGUUCCGUGAUGCUCCAGGCCAGCAUACCCUUGAGACCAUAAUGUAAUUGUCACCUCCUAAGCCCCACGUGUGAAAUGGGACCACCACAGAGGCAACUCUGAUGCCUUUUCCAGUUGAGGAAUCCCUGUGCUAGAGAACAUUUCACCUACUUCAAGAACCCGCACUGGUCCUCAAGUCCUUGACCAGAUGUGACCUUAUAAGGCAUGAGUGUUUCCCCGGGGUCUCUAUCCCCUUGCAGUCAGGGGGUUAAGUAGGGGAGAGGCACCCCAGCACAAGAUGGCCCUCGGACCCCAAGCAAUCCUCUUGAUUAAACCAGCUUACUUUUCGUUUCUUAAAAAA